ACUGAACGCUGGCGGCAUGGUUAAAGCAUGCAAGUCGAACGGGUCCGCAAGGACAGUGGCGGAAGGGUGAGUAAUGCGAUCCAACGUACCCCGAGGUGGUGGAUAGCCGUGGGAAACUGCGGGUAAUACACCAUGAUCUCUUCGGAGCAAAGAUUUAUCGCCUUGGGAUCGGGGAUCGUCCUAUCAGGUAGUUGGCGGGGUAAUGGCCCACCAAGCCGAAGACGGGUAGCAGGUGUGAGAGCACGGCCUGCCCCAUCGAGACUGAGACACUGCUCGGACUCCUACGGGAGGCUGCAGCGACGAAUCUUCCGCAAUGGGCGAAAGCCUGACGGAGCGAUGCCGCGUGCGGGAUGAAGCGGCUUUGCCGUGUAAACCGCUGUCAGGGGGUAGAAACACUGAUCACCCCCAGAGGAAGGGCCGACUAACCCUGUG
rnacentral:rRNA from 2 species